rnacentral:rRNA from 1 species
CCUCAGUAACGGCGAGUGAAGCGGCAAAAGCUCAAAUUUGAAAUCUAGCACCUUCGGUGUUCGAGUUGUAAUUUGAAGAUGGUAACCUUGGGUUUGGCUCUUGUCUAUGUUCCUUGGAACAGGACGUCAUAGAGGGUGAGAAUCCCGUCUGAUGAGAUGCCCAUUCCUAUGUAAGGUGCUAUCGAAGAGUCGAGUUGUUUGGGAAUGCAGCUCUAAGUGGGUGGUAAAUUCCAUCUAAAGCUAAAUAUUGGCGAGAGACCGAUAGCGAACAAGUACAGUGAUGGAAAGAUGAAAAGAACUUUGAAAAGAGAGUGAAAAAGUACGUGAAAUUGUUGAAAGGGAAGGGCAUUAGAUCAGACUUGGUGUUUUACGAUUAUCUUCUCUUCUUGAGUUGUGCACUCGUAUUUCACUGGGCCAGCAUCGAUUCGGAUGGCAAGAUAAUGGCAGUUGAAUGUGGCUUCACUUCGGUGGAGUGUUAUAGCUUCUGUUGAUAUUGCCUGUCUGGAUCGAGGGCUGCGUCUUUUGACUAGGAUGCUGGCGUAAUGAUCUAAUGCCGC